UGACCGUGCUAAGGUAGCAUAAUCACUUGUUUCUUAAUUGGGAACUUGUAUGAAAGAGAGGACGACGCCCAAACUCUCCUGGCAUCUAUCCUAAAAAUUGAUAUUUACUUCAAAAAGAGUAAAUAUUUAGGGGGACGAUAAGACCCUGUGAAACUUCAUUUAAACACUUGUGGUAAAUUUUGAGCCUUAACUACAGUUAUUUAUAUUUAACUGGGGCGGUAUUUAAGAAAACUUUAAUAAAAAAAACAUUUUUUAUGAACCUAAAGCUCUUCGAAAGAAAAAAUAGAAUAAGUUACUCCAGGGAUAACAGCACAAUUUUUCCAGACAGACCUUAUGGAAGGAAAAGAGUUGUGACCUCGAUGUUGAAUUGAAAUGCCAUCUUUGAGCAGAAAAAAAGAUAGGGAGUCUGUUCGACUUUUAAUUUUUCA
rnacentral:rRNA from 1 species